rnacentral:rRNA from 1 species
GACGAACGCUGGCGGCGUGCUUAACACAUGCAAGUCGAGCGGUAAGGCCCUUUCGGGGUACGACGAGCGGCGAACGGGUAGGAGUAACAACGUGGGUGGACCUCGCCCUCCAGCUCUGGGAGUAAGACCCGGGAAACCGUAGGUCGUAAUAACCGGACUAUGACUCCAUGACGCAUGUUGUGGGGUGGGAAAGACCUUGUGCGGCUGAGGAGUGGGCCCGGCCGGCCUAUCAGCUUGUUGGGUGGGGUGA